UAGUGGCGCACGGGUGAGUAACACGUAGGUGACCUACCGAACAGUGGGGGAUAACCAGAAGAAAUUCUGGCUAAUACCGCAUACGUUGAACAAAUUUGAAAGUAGUUCAAGAAAGGAUGCCUCUGUAUAUGCAUUCGCUGAUUGAUGGGCCUGCGGGACAUUAGCUUGAUGGUGGGGUGACGGCCUACCUUGGCAACGAUGUCUAGCGGAUCUGAGAGGAUGAUCCGUCACACUGGAACUGAGACACGGUCCAGACUCC
rnacentral:rRNA from 1 species